CUAUAAUUCAUUUUUUUACCAUUAAGUGAAACUUAACAUUGAAUCUCCUGUGAUAUUGUCUACCAUUUCUGUUUGGUCUAAUAAUUUUAAUCUCAGAUACCUACUGAACAAAACUUACAUUCAAAAACUCCCGUAAAAUUUACAUGUAUAAAUAGGUCAAAAAUGGUUACAAUGUUUUGACAAUUCACGCUGGCUAAAAAAAGUCAUAUUAGUUCUCUAUACAAACUUAUACUGAAUUUAAACAAAAAUUGUUUGUACAUUUUCUAAUUUUUCCAUUGAUUAUAGAAACAGUUGAGAUAAUCCAAAAAUGACCUCUAAGAUAUGAUUUCAAAAAAAAUGUUAUACUUUUAAAUCUGAGCAAAAUUGUCAGUAGAAAAAUUAACAGGUUAUAACAAUAAAUAAGAAGACUAAAUUUGUACAGCCUAACUAUAUGACUAUAUGAAAGAAUGUCCUAAAACGAGUCAUAAUUAAAUGGCUACAGGUUGCACUUAGUAUGCUAGUGUUGCUACUUUUAGCUGUGUAAUAUAGACUAUUUUUGGAAAAUAUAUCCAUUAUUUCAUAAGCAUGCCAUACAAUGUAUGGUAUUGCUUCACGGCAACAACUGACAAAUUGUUAUAAAAUUACCCAUCUACAUUAGAUGUUAAUAUUCUGUAAUUGAACAAAUAUAAUAUAUGGUUUUCAUUUACCAGUAGAUUUCAACAUAAUUGAAAAUAUUAAAUGAUUUACCAAUAGCUAAGUGUGUUAUGGUCCUUACAAUACAUGAUUAUAAAUUAAUCACUUGUCUAUUAUGAAUUAAACACAUGUUGACAGAUGUUUUACAUUCACAUUUAGGCAAAAUUUAUAUUUUAUUUAUGAAAC